CCCUCUCUUCUUAAUAUUUUAGGCUCCCUUCUGUGCUACUUAGAAGCUGAUGAAAUCUGAAAUCUGCUCAUUACAUACUUUUUGGCAGAAAACCCAAUUUAAAUACUUUAUUUAUUUAUUUUUUUUUGGUGACGUAAACCUGUGCUUUCCAUGUUCUUUGUAAAGAACUCUGAGAUUUUGCAAGCAUCCUUCUGCAAAUAAAAACAUCAUGACCAGACUUCUCAGCAUGCCCUGUGUGGAUGGAUAAUUUUGCAAAUGGACAAAAAUUGUGCAUUUUCUUAAUUUCAAGUGGCUGAAAUUUAACUAGAAAAUCUUAGCAGCCCUAAGGCCGUGUAAUUUAGUGUUCUUGACACCAUUCAGCCAUCUGCUAUCCACUCUCUAAUCUUAGUUUCCCUCUCCUACAACUCCAUUUGGACACAGUAAAAGUUUGAUUACCUAGAAUAGUCAGAGUAAAGCAGAUUCUGAAUAAAUAAAUUUUCUGGUUCAUUAGGGAGUCAUACCGGUAUAAAAAAUUCUUAGACAGAUCUAUGUUUGGCCACUGGUUAACUGUGUAUUAUUUAACUUAACUUUUCAGGGUCUUCAUUACUCCAGCCAAAAAAAUAAGAAUGAAAGUGGAAACACUUCAAGGUUUCUUUGAAGACUAGAAAUAAGUUUGUGAAGCAUAUGGCAUAUAACAGAACAACUGGGGUUAUUGCUUUCUCUCUCAUUUCCUGAACUUGCAAAGCCAUGGAAUUGGAGCAGUGGCAGUGAUGUGCCCAAGCCUCCAGUUGAUUCAUCAGAAUUGGUACGUUUCACCCCAUUCCACUGGUGUCACCUGACAUCAGCUGUGAACCUCCACAUGGGACAGAGUUUACUGAAGUUAUUAUUAAUAUUAAGGACCCAGUUUUUGACUGUGCAUUCCCCUCAUGCCAAUGUAGAAAAAGAUAUUCUACCCUCCUGGUAAGACAUCUCAAUGAUAUAUCUUAAUAGAGACAUUUCAAAAUCUCAGAUCUGUGACUGUGGACAAGUUGCUUAACCCCUGAUAUGGUUUGGCUGUGUUCCCACCCAAAUCUCAUUUUGAAUUUUCACGUGUUGUGGGAGAGACCUGGUGGGAGGUAAUGGAAUCAUGGGGGCAGGUCUUUCCUGUGCUGUUCUCCUGAUAGUG
rnacentral:lncRNA from 1 species